rnacentral:rRNA from 1 species
CAGUCGCCGCGGGAAUACAGAGGGUGCGAGCGUUAAUCGGAUUUACUGGGCGUAAAGCGUGCGUAGGCGGCUUCUUAAGUCGGAUGUGAAAUCCCUGAGCUUAACUUAGGAAUUGCAUUCGAUACUGGGAAGCUAGAGUAUGGGAGAGGAUGGUAGAAUUCCACGUGUAGCAGUGAAAUGCGUAGAUAUGUGGAGGAACACCGAUGGCGAAGGCAGCCUCCUGGGCCAAUACUGACGCUCAUGCACGAAAGCGUGGGGAGCAAACAGGAUUAGAUACCCCAGUAGUCCCUGUCUCUUAUAC